rnacentral:rRNA from 1 species
UGGGGAAUUUUGGACAAUGGGCGAAAGCCUGAUCCAGCAAUGCCGCGUGUGUGAAGAAGGCCUUCGGGUUGUAAAGCACUUUUGUCCGGAAAGAAAUCCUUGGCUCUAAUACAGUCGGGGGAUGACGGUACCGGAAGAAUAAGCACCGGCUAACUACGUGCCAGCAGCCGCGGUAAUACGUAGGGUGCAAGCGUUAAUCGGAAUUACUGGGCGUAAAGCGUGCGCAGGCGGUUUGCUAAGACCGAUGUGAAAUCCCCGGGCUCAACCUGGGAACUGCAUUGGUGACUGGCAGGCUAGAGUAUGGCAGAGGGGGGUAGAAUUCCACGUGUAGCAGUGAAAUGCGUAGAGAUGUGGAGGAAUACCGAUGGCGAAGGCAGCCCCCUGGGCCAAUACUGACGCUCAUGCACGAAAGCGUGGGGAGCAAACAGGAUUAGAUACCCUGGUAGUCCACGCCCUAAAACGAUGUCAACUAGUUGUUGGGGAUUCAUUUCCUUAGUAACGUAGCUAACGCGU